UUAAUCUUAUUGAAUUUGAUUGUUUAUUUAACUAACUGGAGUGUUUGUGAAUCCAUGAUAUCUUUAGGCUGUGAGGAUUAGCCAAGCCAGUGAUAGAGAUUAAGCAUAAUCUAGCAUGAUGCCAGAAUGCAUAUUGCGAUAUCGCAGAUAAAAUGGUAGGCGCUCAAGGGGACCAUGAAUAAGAUUUUCUCCAUUGUACCUGGGACUGUGUUAGGGGAGCGCCACUGAGGUGUUGGUUUCACACAGAGGCGACAUCUAAUGGACAGCUGUAUUACAGUUUCCGGGAUGAAGCAGUCUUUUGGGAGAGUGAAUUUCCAAAGUACAGCAUGAGGACAUUUUCAGCACUGAAAUGAAUCAAUGGCAAGGAUGAUCUUACAAAGGUGAUGGAUGGUCAGCUUUUCUCCUUGCAGGGAUAAUUGCCAGUAUACUUCUAUAAACAUGCUAAAAUGGCAAAAGGUAAAAGAUUUUUUGUAUUGACAUGUGUAAAGUUCUACACAUGGUUGUGUUGCAAUCAAGAGGAUAACAUUUAUAUUGUAAGGGUUAUGAUAAUUUAUUUUAAAUAUCAGCUAAUAGUUACAACUUACAAGGACUGACUCUGCAAGAUUGCAUGCAGACUGUUCGUGUGUUAUCCCUUUGCAAUGUUCUGGACUUCAUUCCAACACAAAACGAAUAAUUGGAUAUCUUGAAACUAGAAAGCCAAGUUCUGAUAUAAUCCAUUAGUAUACGUUUAAAAUGCAAUCGUUUUGAAUUAAAUAGAAAUCCUCCCAUUGCAAUCCAAUUAAUUCUUAGGCCUUCAUUUGCAUAUCUUUUGGAAAACAAAGUAUGCAAUUAUGAUCAUGUAUUCCAAUGUUUGGUCUGAACUCAAUGCCACACCUAAUACCAGGCAUGAAUACAUUUAAUCUCAACCUAUCUGUGGUAGACUCUAGACUCUUAUGUGACGCAUUUCAUAUUACUGG